AUAGUCUCCUGCAAUAAAAUGUAGAUUAUCCUCCGAUGAAUAUGCUGAUAACGGACAAAAACUGAACGUAAAGAAACCCCAUAAAUGCCUUACAAGGUUUCCAAGUUAACGAAAUUCCCAAGCUCUUGAGGUAUUGUUCCUGAAAAUUGGUUUUCUUCAAGGUCCCUGGUAAACAGAUCCAUUGAGAUUUCUAAUAAUCGCAGAACAUAUUGGUAUAAAAACUUAAAGGACUCUUACCUGCAAAUUUGCACAUACACAUGAACAAAGAAAAUAUUCUGAGGAAUAAUUAAGCAUAAGACUUCUAGUUUAUCUCCUUGAAGAAACAAGAAUUUUGUUCUCUCAGUCAAAGAAAUAAAAAAUAAUUGGAAAAUUCAUGAAAUUUAAAAUAAUGAAAAACUAUAAUCAGUUCAUUUCUGCAAGUCCAUCAACUGGAUAUUGUAGUCAUGAUGAGUUUUCGAAGCUUACAAGUAUGUGAGACUAGUAAUGUUCCCCAAAUGGCUUGGAAUAUUGCCUGACAAUCGGUUUGCAAAAACAGAUCUGCAUGGACAAUUCCAAUAUGGUUAAUUCAGUGAGACAAACAAAAUUUUAUUUGCUCGACUGAUAGAAAGAUGCAGAUAUAGCUUACAUAUACUUCAGUUGCAUCGAGGCCCAUUCACGUGGUAUCGAACCAUGCAGAUAGUUGUAAGCAAAAUCACUGCAUUCCACAACAAUAUCAAUCAAAUUUACAAAUUGGUCUGUAAAAGAAAGAAGGAAACGAAGAUAUUCAUAAUGCAGUAGACUAAUAGGGGUGCAUUUAGUUACAUUUUUGGCAUGGGUCUAUUUUUUGGUUCUGUUCAAAUGAAAGAGAAGUACAGUUUUAAAAAGUUGCCUGAUUUUUAGUGUUUACGCUUUGUAAAAGAACCAUAGACCAGCUAAAAAAACAUUUUCAAUCGAUAAAUUUCCUCCAGCCACAAGGUUUUGUUAUGAUUGUUUUAGUUUCAGUUCUCUCUUCCUGAAGCAGUUACUCAUCUAUUUGAAAGAUUCCAAACCUUCUUGUCUUCCGCUCUUGGUUCUAAAAUAGUGUCUCCAACAGAAGAUACCCAACACCAAGAUAAUGAGACAUGAUCCUAUAAUAACGCCAGCAACAAUUGGUGCAAUCGUCUUUUUUCCUGCCCCAUAGAGGGGUUUGAAGUCUGCCAGAAAGCAUAAGCCAAGAAAUUAUGAUAAUCAGAAACAACAAACAUAGGAAGAAAGAAUGACUGUGAGUAUUCAAGACUAUAUCGAUUAGUUGGAUGUUUGCUUUAAAUUUUCAAAUGGUUUUCUACCAUAGGUGCUGUGGCUUACAGUUCUUAGAUUUCACACUACUGGAGCACUUGAACUUUUAUUCUCAAAAUGAUUGUACAACAUGUCACAUUGUUAGCCCGACAUGGGACAUGGAAGAAGUGGAAAAGAAAAUCACUCACUGGGAUCCACAGAAAUAGCUGAUAUAAGAGGCCCAUAAACUCCACCACUAGGAAUUGCAGUAGUGCCUUUGCCAGCCCAUUGGAAGCGAAUCUCUAAAAUGUGAUUGGAAACAUUGGCAGUGAAUGGUCUCGUGACUGGCUUAAGAACUCCAUGAGCUUCAGCUUCAAUGUUAAAAUCCUUCUCAACUAAUUUGUCCUGCAACAUAGCAAACCAACAAAAUUUGUAUUUGUUAUCCUGAAAGAAACAAACUCCAUAUGACCAAGUGACCAAGAAAAUGGGCUCUCAAGAAUAGCUUUAAACAUAUCACACAACUAGAGACAUCUCACAAGAUGGUACAUUUUGAAUGGAACACAUCUGGCACAAAAUUAUAAUAUACAAGCCCACAACCCAUCAUCUGAUUCUCAGGCAUCACAGCCUGAGUUGACUCUGAUGAAAAUAUAUUUCUUGAUUGUCAUAAAGUACCUGGAUAUAAAUAUCAAAUAUGCGCCUGCCAAGGGUUUUAUAUGUUUUGUCAUUUGUGAAUUGGAUCUCCGCAAAGUGUAGAGCCACUGAAUAAUUCCCAUUUUCUAAACAAUAUCCAAUAUAAGUAAGCGAAAGAGGAGAAAUACGUGCAUCAAUGUACAAUUCAGAAAUCCCUGAUGACUGUGAAUUUGCAAUAUAAUUAGUAUUUUGCUCAUCAUCAUCAUCUGUGAAAUCUCCUGUGCUACUGAUUCCCCAGUUAGUACCAUCCAGUAAAUGGUAUGUUGCAGCACCACCACCAACUCCUGCAUCUCCUUCGAAUGUGCUGUCAUUUACUUUUACAUUACCUCCACCACAAUUAAUGUGCAAAGAGUGCCAAUCUGUGAAGAGAAAACAAUGUGAAAUACUAAAGCAGCAAAGACCUUUUCACAUACUGUUAAUCCAUUUGAAAACAUUAAAAGGAAAGCAAGCUCAUAUGGUCAGUUUUUUUAUUUAUUAUUUAUUUUGUUGGGGGUUGGGGAACUUGUGAGUGAUCAGCAAACGUAAUUGUAUUAUCAUCAAUUCUAGGGAUCAACUAGAUUACUUCACCUUGCCUUUAAGUACUUCAGAUAAAGCACUUACGUACAUGAUAACAAGACUUGUGAUUGAAUUCGUAAAGAACAUGACAAAGAAUUGUGAUUCCAGGAGUCAAUAAAUGUGAAGAGAAUAUAGAAGAGAUUCUAAUACGAAGAGAAUUCUAACAACAUCAAAUCUGAAAUGAUACUUACAUCGAUGACAUGUGAAAUUGUUUGUACAUGGAAAAACUCCACGUCUGGUUUUAGUCAAGAAAAAAUGUAAACAAAACAGAUUAGCUCCAUAUCGUUGCCAAGUGAGGUCAACAACAGUAGAGUAACAAAUGGCUGUCGUGAGAAGAUUUCUUGCUUUCAUUGAAAAGCAAAUGGCACCAUCAAAACAGAAAUGAAGAUUUAAUGAUAGAAUGACCAGCUAUAUGCGCAAAAUACUUCAUGUAGAGGUAAUUACCUUCGUAACUUUUUUUGUUUUUAAAGGAAUUACCACUGUAACUUAAGCUGGUAUAAUAGGAAAGAAAAAGGGAACUUACAAGUUAUUUUCCACUGAAGAACUCCGGAACAAGUUCAGAUUUAGAUUCCUAGUGAAAAAUGAUACAUCUAUCAGGACUUAGAUCCAUCACAGGAUAUACAUAGAAGUAAACAGAAUCAGAUAAUUAUUCACUUAAGAGAAAUAUACUGACGGUUUCUCACGGCAAGCAGGCUGCUCAGGACUCUGCCAAGUGAAAUUAUUGUAAGAAAGGUCCCUGCAUGCAAGAAAGAAACAACGAUCUUUUCAUUGUAGAUGGAAAUUUAAUUUAAAAUGAUGAAGCAAUUGAAAGAUACAAGAGAAUGUCUUUGUGUUUGACACAACCCCCUCACUGCUAUCCUCAUCAAAUGAAAAAGCUAAACCUCAAAAUUGUUUUGUUUCUAAUAUGUGCUAGUUGUGAUAUGUGAUGUGCUCCACAAAGCCUAACAUAAUGGCUUGUUCAUAUGCCUCCAGCAAACUCAUUUUCAACAAUAGUAAAUUAACAGAUUAACAAAUUUAUAGAGCUUAACGAUGGAUAACAAAUGCACGUUACAAGGAUUGAUGCUCAUAAACUCCUCUGAUAAACAUAAGAAUCUAAAAUCCAAGAGAUAAGGUACACACACAUUAGUUCCUUUCUUCAGGAUUGACUCCGGUACAUUCCCUUGGAUAGAAUUGCCGGUAAGAAAGCUGAUAAAGGCCAGAUCAAGCAGUUAGUAUCUGGACAUUUGAAAAUUAGAAUAGUAAAAUUAAAACUUUUGUUUCAGUAACUUGCGUGAAUUUCAAAUCGGCUGGGAGUGCAACAUCGGGAAGUUCCCCAGUUAGAUGAUUAAAGCUGAGAUCCCUAUAAAAGCCAAAAAAAGAAAAAAAAGAAAGAAAGAGAGAGAACAAAAAUUUAUACGUGUGCUAAUUAGAGACCCUAACUACAUAUGAUGAUCUGCACAAUAGAACAUAGGUAAUCGAUAAGUAAGUAAGUAACAUACUUACAGAAACCGAAGAUUUUUUAUUCCCCAUAUAUAUUCAGGUAUCUCUCCAGAUAUAUUACAGUUCCUCAAAAUUCUGGAAAUCCAUCAACAAUCAAAUCAGAUGAAGCAAUUUUGAGGUGAAUAAACUCCAUUAAUGUGAUAAAAAUGAAGAGUCAUACAUCCGUGUAAGGCCUGUCAUGUUUCUAAGCAUCGGAAAAGUCUGAUUCGGUCCUUGCAAGUCACUAAUCCUCCUGUUCAUAUAAGUAUCGUCAUUAACAGAUCUUUUCAGCAAUAUUCAAUAUGCUAAACUAUUAUGACAAUGAAAGUAUUAAAUCAUUUGAAUUAUUGUAAAAGAAUACUUAUUAAAUUUUCACUGACAAUUGAUUUAGCUUAUCCAAAGCAGAGAUUGAUGGCGGAAUGGGUCCUUCAAGUCCACUACCUUGAAUUUCUCUGCAUUAAGUUAAGUAAAGCAAUCAAUAAUAUUUCAAGGGCCUGACAGUAACUUGAACAAUUUUGGCAUGUCGAAGAGCCUACAGUCUGUUAAGUUGUGUCCAGCUUUGUAUAAAAUCUGGCACACUCCCAUUGAAGUUGUUGUCAUUAAUCCUACUGCAUUGUCCAACAAGAACAAGAAUGAAUUAUGGCUUACACUUUCUGCCAAAUUUCAGAAUAUCCUCAGAAUAAACUUUUGAAAAGCUUACAAGUCUGUUAAAUUUUUCAGCUUCACAAGUUCCAUUGGUAAAUUUCCAAUCAAUCUAUUGGAUGAUAGUCUCCUGCAAUAAAAUGUAGAUUAUCCUCCGAUGAAUAUGCUGAUAACGGACAAAAACUGAACGUAAAGAAACCCCAUAAAUGCCUUACAAGGUUUCCAAGUUAACUAAAUUCCCAAGCUCUUGAGGUAUUGUUCCUGAAAAUUGGUUUUCUUCAAGGUCCCUGGUAAACAGAUCCAUUGAGAUUUCUAAUAAUCGUAGAACAUAUUGGUAUAAAAACUUAAAGGACUCUUACCUGCAAAUUUGUACAUACACAUGCACAAAGAAAAUAUUCUGAGGAAUAAUUAAGCAUAAGACUUCUAGUUUAUCUCCUUGAAGAAACAAGAAUUUUGUUCUCUCAGUCAAAGAAAUAAAAAAUAAUUGGAAAAUUCAUGAAAUUUAAAAUAAUGAAAAACUAUAAUCAGUUCAUUUCUGCAAGUCCAUCAACUGGAUAUUGUAGUCAUGAUGAGUUUUCGAAGCUUACAAGUAUGUGAGACUAGUAAUGUUCCCC
rnacentral:lncRNA from 1 species